rnacentral:rRNA from 1 species
AUUGAACGCUGGCGGCAUGCCUUACACAUGCAAGUCGAACGGUAACGGGCCUUCGGGUGCCGACGAGUGGCGAACGGGUGAGUAAUGCAUCGGAACGUACCUUUCAGUGGGGGAUAACGUAGCGAAAGUUACGCUAAUACCGCAUAUUCUGUGAGCAGGAAAGCAGGGGAUCGCAAGACCUUGCGCUGAUUGAGCGGCCGAUGUCAGAUUAGCUAGUUGGUGAGGUAAAGGCUCACCAAGGCGACGAUCUGUAGCGGGGCUGAGAGGAUGAUCCGCCACACUGGAACUGAGACACGGUCCAGACUCCUACGGGAGGCAGCAGUGGGGAAUUUUGGACAAUGGGGGCAACCCUGAUCCAGCCAUGCCGCGUGAGUGAAGAAGGCCUUCGGGUUGUAAAGCUCUUUCGGCCGGGAAGAAAUCGCACGGGCUAAUACCCUGUGUGGAUGACGGUACCGGAAUAAGAAGCACCGGCUAACUACGUGCCAGCCGCCGCGGUAACAC